AUUGAACGCUGGCGGCAUGCUUUACACAUGCAAGUCGAACGGUAACAGGCCUUCGGGUGCUGGCGAGUGGCGAACAGGUGAGUAAUGCAUCGGAACGUACCCAGAGGUGGGGGAUAACGCAGCGAAAGCUGUGCUAAUACCGCAUGUGAUCUGAGGAUGAAAGCGGGGGACCGAGCAGCAAUGUUUGGCCUCGCGCCUUUGGAGCGGCCGAUGUCGGAUUAGCUAGUUGGUGGGGUAAAGGCCUACCAAGGCGACGAUCCGUAGCUGGUCUGAGAGGACGACCAGCCACACUGGGACUGAGACACGGCCCAGACUCCUACGGGAGGCAGCAGUGGGGAAUUUUGGACAAUGGGCGCAAGCCUGAUCCAGCAAUGCCGCGUGCGGGAAGAAGGCCUUCGGGUUGUAAACCGCUUUUGGCAGGAACGAAACGGUGUCCGCUAAUACCGGGCGCUAAUGACGGUACCUGCAGAAUAAGCACCGGCUAACUACGUG
rnacentral:rRNA from 1 species